UAUUAUUAAGCGGAGGAAAAGAAACUAACAAAGAUUGACAGAGUAAGGGCGACUGAAAUGUCAAAAGCUCAGCAUGUGAAUCAGCGUUUAUUUGUAUAGAUGCUGAAUUGUGGUCUUAGGGUUCUUGCAGCACUUGGUCCAGACCAUGUUUUUUGGAAUAAAAUAGCAAAGAGGGUGAAACUCCUGUUUGUCUGGACUUACGAAGCAAGAAUUAUUGAGUCGAGUUGUUUGGGAUUGCAGCUCAAAUACGGUGGUAAAUUCCAUCUCAAGCUAAAUACUGGCUGGAAACCGAUAGCGAAAAAGUACCGUGAGGGAAAGAUGCAAAGAACUUUGAAAAGAGAGUGAAAGAGUACCUGAAAUUGCUGAAAAGGAAGCGAACGAAGCUAGUGAACGCUGCGUCAUACUUUCCAAAUUGCUUGCAAUUUGGACGCUGUGGCCGGCCGAGUUGGGUUGGAUUGUCAUUUGUGAAAGCAGGUGAAGAAAAGUUUCCAUUUCCUUCGCCGUAUGCACAAGUGGCGAUUGAACUGAACAAAAUAGAUUUGUUUGCCCCGUCUAGAAACACGGACCAAGGAGUCUAACAUAUGUGCGAGUACUGGGGUAGCCAACCUCGGUGCGCAAUGAAAGUGUCAGAGGCUAGAAUGAAUUUGCAUAGUCCGCCGGCCUCGA
rnacentral:rRNA from 1 species